AGCAAAAUCUAUAAAUAUGUUCAAUAGAAUAUUAUAGCAAAGAAACAAAAUUGUUAACACACUGGUAAUUUAAUACACAUGCACAUUAGAUACUGCCAUCACUGCAUCUAUAAAACAAGAAGAAAUUUAUAAGGGAUACUGAUAUUUAAAAAGACUUGAAGUGUUAAUAUUUGAGGCACAAAUUUUAUAACUAAAAAUACUUAAAUUCAAAGUACAGAGCUGACAUCCAGCUUAUCCUCAUGGGAGAGUGGAGAAUACACUCCUAACAUGAUAACUACUACAUGCAACAUAAAAUGAAAAAUAUGGAAGCAAAAAAAUUGGCUGUGUGGUGAAGAAGCUCGCUUUGCAACCAUGUGGCUUUGGGUUCAGGUCAACAUAAUUGUUUCGUUAAUCCAGUAACAACAAUACAAAUUACCUGGCUGGAGAGAGAGAUCCGGAAUGAAGACAGAGACAAGUGCGCUACUGCAAAACAAAUACAUGGUUACCCAACCUGAGGUAAGUGCAGGAGGAGAGAGAGAGAGUGGGAGACAACAGGAUAGAGAUGGUGGCAAAAUGCCAGGCAUACUCAUAAGGAACAGGGACCAGAAUAUAAAUGGGAUGAUUGAAUAAAGGAACAGAGAGAUAUAGAUGGUGGAAAAAAGACAAUAUGAAUGCCUUUAAUCAUAGGUUUGCAUGAUCAUAACUUUCUUUUUGUUAAUGACUUAGAGGAAGAACAAUGGCUACAGCCCCUUUUAGGGUCCCAAAGACUGGUGGCAAAAAAGGAACUUAUCUUAAGACUAGAAACCUAGCUCAAAUGUUUACAACAGAGUAGACUGUUGGAGAUACACAAGAACUAGGUGGAGGCAUUAAACUGAACAAGAUAAAAUCUACCAUCCAACAGGAAUGGCCCUCUUUAACAGGUUCUCACAGCUUCUAUCUAUUAAAUUUUACUCACAAGGUAUUGAGUCAACUCGAGGCUAUCUGAAUACCUUAUCCAACUGACUAUUAAAUGACCUACAAUGUUCAAAAUAAAAUUUACAAAUGCAUCUCUCAUUGUAAAAUCUCACCAGUGCAAACAUAAUGGAUGCAGAGUGUCCAACUGAAAUAAUCUUAAGGGACCAUAGUUAAUUCGAUACUGACCUGCUAUUGCAGCUGAUAUAAUUGAUUUGUGUUUUUACUACUGUUGAUAUUAUUGCAUUUUCAAAUUUCCCAAACCACAUUACUUAUCUUCUCAGACAACAGAAGCCAUCACUAUUAAUCUUUGCAAUACUGCUGGUAAUGUAAAGGUUACAUCUUUCUACUAGAAUUGAACAUUUUCAGCAAAAUAAAACUGGAUGGAAAAUGAUGAAAAUUGAUCUUUAUUUUAAAUACCGAACCAGCAAGAAUUAGAAGUCA